AUGAGCAGCGAUCGGCCUCCUCCGUACUUCCCGCUCUUCCCUGAAGGAGCGCCGACCUUCCCGUCAGCCCUCAGCUCCCAGCCCACAGCCUAUCCAGGCUCACCUUAUCAGACCUUCCCCCCUGCAGGUGGAGCAGGUCACUCCUACUACCAGACUCAUCCGCCUGCUGCCGGGCUGAUGUCCCCACACGGGCCCCUACUGACUCAGCCUGGGUACCAGGGCGGCCAUGACGGGCCACACAGCGCCCCCUAUCCACCAAAACCUGCAGUGUACGUGGUGGAGCGCCAUCAGAAUCAGGAGGGGGGCGGCAGGUCGUGGUUGGCGCCGUGCUCCGCGGCUCUGUGCUGCUGCUGCCUCUGGGACGCGCUGACGUCUCAGCACUGCUGGCCCGUCAACUGCUGCUGGGAGAACAACUACUGAAGAAGACGUGAACGUGUGCGAGCGCGCCGCCACUUCCUGUUUAUCAGAUAAUCCACAAUAAACAGACGGUCCGAGCGGUGUGACGUUUAUUU
rnacentral:lncRNA from 1 species